CAGUAGCCACGGUAAUACGUAGGUGGCAAGCGUUGUCCGGAAUUAUUGGGCGUAAAGGGCUCGCAGGCGGUUUCUUAAGUCUGAUGUGAAAGCCCCCGGCUCAACCGGGGAGGGUCAUUGGAAACUGGGAAACUUGAGUGCAGAAGAGGAGAGUGGAAUUCCACGUGUAGCGGUGAAAUGCGUAGAGAUGUGGAGGAACACCAGUGGCGAAGGCGACUCUCUGGUCUGUAACUGACGCUGAGGAGCGAACGCGUGGGGAGCGGACAGGAUUAGAUACCCGUGUAGUCCCUGUCUCUUAUAC
rnacentral:rRNA from 1 species